CAGUCGCCGCGGUAAUACGAGGGGUGCAAGCGUUAUUCGGAUUGAUCGGGUGUAAAGGGCGUGCAGACGGCUUAUUAAGUCACUUGUUAAAUUCUUCGGCCUAACUGAAGGUCUGCAAGUGAUACUGAUGAGCUAGAGGGUGGAAGAGAGAAGUGGAAUUCUCGGAGUAGCGGUAAAAUGCGUAGAUCUCGAGUGGAACACCAAUGGCGAAGGCAGCUUCUUGGUCCAUUCCUGACGUUCAUACACGAAAGCGUGGGGAGCAAACAGGAUUAGAUACCCCAGUAGUCCCUGUCUCUUAUAC
rnacentral:rRNA from 1 species